GACGCUGGCGGCGCGCCUAACACAUGCAAGUCGAACGAGCGAGAGAGAGCUUGCUUUCUCAAAGCGAGUGGCGAACGGGUGAGUAACGCGUGAGGAACCUGCCUCAAAGAGGGGGACAACAGUUGGAAACGACUGCUAAUACCGCAUAAGCCCACAGCUCGGCAUCGAGCGGAGGGAAAAGGAGCAAUCCGCUUUGAGAUGGCCUCGCGUCCGAUUAGCUAGUUGGUGAGGUAACGGCCCACCAAGGCAACGAUCGGUAGCCGGACUGAGAGGUUGAACGGCCACAUUGGGACUGAGACACGGCCCAGACUCCUACGGGAGGCAGCAGUGGGGAAUAUUGCACAAUGGGGGAAACCCUGAUGCAGCGACGCCGCGUGGAGGAAGAAGGUCUUCGGAUUGUAAACUCCUGUUGUUGAGGAAGAUAAUGACGGUACUCAACAAGGAAGUGACGGCUAACUACGUG
rnacentral:rRNA from 1 species